rnacentral:rRNA from 1 species
CCGCGUGAGUGGUGAAGGUCUUCGGAUCGUAAAACUCUGUCUUAUGGGACGAUAAUGACGGUACCAUAGGAGGAAGCCACGGCUAACUACGUGCCAGCAGCCGCGGUAAUACGUAGGUGGCAAGCGUUGUCCGGAUUUACUGGGCGUAAAGGAUGUGUAGGCGGAUAUUUAAGUGAGAUGUGAAAUCCCCGGGCUUAACUUGGGGGCUGCAUUUCAAACUGGAUGUCUGGAGUGCAGGAGAGGAAGGCAGAAUUCCUAGUGUAGCGGUGAAAUGCGUAGAGAUUAGGAAGAAUACCAGUGGCGAAGGCGGCCUUCUGGACUGUAACUGACGCUGAGGCAUGAAAGCGUGGGGAGCAAACAGGAUUAGAUACCCUGGUAGUC